AAUUUGUGAAACAUGCUGAAGAGACAUAUUGAAACAUAUUACUAUCGCGUAUGAAACAAAGAG
rnacentral:snoRNA from 1 species